rnacentral:tRNA from 1 species
GCGCCCGUAGCUCAGCUGGAUAGAGCAGUAGACUUCGAAUCUAAAGGUCGCAGGUUCGACUCCUGCCGGGCGUA